rnacentral:ncRNA from 1 species
AUUUACGCAAUGAUAAGGAAAAGUACAUCAGUGUGCUCGUCCAGAGAGGAAAUGCCAAAGGCUGUAAGCAUUUCCCGAUACUGCUGAAUGGAAAACCACCUUGGAGCAACUUGCUGAAAGGCUAGUAAGCAAGUCGGCAGGACACCGUUAUUGUCCUUUGAGGUGGGAGUGCAAACUCCAACCAGGGUGGAACCGCGGAAACAUCCCGUCCCUGAU